rnacentral:misc_RNA from 1 species
GUAUGUAGUUGUUGCUCCAAAGCAAAAUUGGAUAGCAUCAGACCAUCCCAUUCAUUCUGGAAAAUUCCAAGCAUCCCUGGGAUGCUAGCAGUCUGUACAGUUCUCGGCUUCACAAUCUUGCCUGUUUUGACAAGAACAAUGUCAUCCAUUGUAAGUGGUUCCCCAGUAAUUGGGCAUUUUCCAUAAUCAGAUAUGUGCCUCUCGAUUAAACGCUUUUCAUAAAGAAGCCCAGAUUUCUUCGAGAGGACGGGCUCUUCCGGCACCUCGCCAGAGAUUGAGCAGUGCAUUGUGAAGAGAGUUAUGGUUUUCAGUGUUGGGAUACUAGCGUUCCAAAGUAGGAGCUAAUGAUUUGUGAAAUUAAGCAG